rnacentral:tRNA from 1 species
GACAGUGUGGUGUAGUGGUUUGAGCAUUGGACUAGGACUCUGGAGACCAGAGUUUGAAUCUCAGCUCAGACA